rnacentral:rRNA from 1 species
UAAGACGAGCCACCCAAACGUUAUUCGGAAUCACUGGGCUUAAAGCGUGCGUAGGCGGCCUGCAAAGUUGGGUGUGAAAUCCCUCGGCUUAACCGAGGAAUUGCGCCCAAAACUAGUAGGCUUGAGGGAGAUAGAGGUAAGCGGAACUGAUGGUGGAGCGGUGAAAUGUGUUGAUAUCAUCAGGAACACCGGUGGCGAAGGCGGCUUACUGGGUCUUUACUGACGCUGAGGCACGAAAGCCAGGGUAGCGAACGGGAUUAGAUACCCCGGUAGUCCUGGCCGUAAACGAUGAGCACUAGGUCGAGGAACUUCCACAGUUUCCCGGCCGUAGCGAAAGUGUUAAGUGCUCCGCCUGGGGAGUAUGGUCGCAAGGCUG